UAUACAGAUCAUGUACAAAACAUACAUCACUAGGUCUAGGUCAAGCAACAACUAUUACAUCUCUUUAAUAUUACAUGUCCACUCUAAGCUAUUACAGAUCUCUUCACUUUUCCUGUACUCUGCUGGACUGUCCCUGUACACUGUACACUGAACCUGCAAAACUGGGGUUAAGGGAGUGGGAUGAGCUCUAUAGCCCAGUGAGUAGAACAGUAAAACAUCUCAGUAAAAUAUGAUCUCAUGGAAUGCACCAUAUCACAGACAAGCCACAUCAAGAGUAAACCUGUCACCACAUAGUCCCAGUAACUCUGUGCCAGGGCGUAGAAUCGAGCACCUGGUCUUCCUG
rnacentral:lncRNA from 1 species